GGGCCGUUAGCUCAGUUGGCUAGAGCACCUGCAUGACAUGCAGGGGGUCGUGGGUUCAAGUCCCUCACGGCCCACCA
rnacentral:tRNA from 2 species